AGAGUUUGAUCCUGGCUCAGAACGAACGCUGGCGGCGUGGAUAAGACAUGCAAGUCGAACGCUGAUCCGAGGGUAGCAAUAUUCUCGGGUUGGAGUGGCGCAAGGGUGCGUAACACGUGGGUAAUUUGCCAUGAAGACCGGGAUAACCCGCUGAAAGGCGGGCUAAUACCGGAUGUGAUGAGCGGGGGGCGACCCCUGCUCCUUAAAGCUGGGGACCGCAAGGCCUGGCGUUUCAUGAUAAGCCCGCGGCCUAUCAGCUAGUUGGCGGGGUAACGGCCCACCAAGGCUAAGACGGGUAGCUGGUCUGAGAGGACGACCAGCCACACUGGAACUGAGACACGGUCCAGACACCUACGGGUGGCAGCAGUCGAGAAUUUUUCUCAAUGGGCGAAAGCCUGAAGGAGCGACGCCGCGUGGGGGAUGAAGGGUUUCGAUCCGUAAACCCCUGUCAUUUGCGAACAAACCCUUCUGGAUAACACCCGGAAGGCUGAUGUAGCGAAAGAGAA
rnacentral:rRNA from 1 species